UAGAGUCAGGGGAAUGACAUUUACUCAAGAAAAUUAUGCUUUAACUUUAUUUUAGAGAAUUUUCCAUGUAACACAAUCUUUUCCUUUCCCUUUCUUGCAGCAUUUUUUGUUAACAAUUAUUAUAAUUAAAAGAGGACAAUGUCUUGCAAAUCAUUGACUGGCGGCAACUGCCGUCACAGCAUGGCGGACAAAUUUGCACACAACUCCAAAGGACACCAGAGCCUAAGACCACCAGCCUCCAGAGCCUCAGAGCCUUAGGACACAGUGCUUUUAGAGGCUCUGCCCCAGAGCUUGGCCUGACACUUUUCCAGGAGAAGCCUCCCUGCGCGAAAAGGUUCCUGUUCAGGGUUCUUUCCUGUUCCUGUUAUUAAAAUUAGUAGAAAAUGUUAAGCAACCAUUUCAAACAAAAAUGUGCAGACAUGCUUUCGGGUACAAUAUUCUUGCUGCAUAGUCUCCAGUCUGUCGUAGGUGGUUCUCCUCUUGAGGCUAUAGCAUUGCAGUUCGCAUCCAAUCCUCUGAAGAAGUGGCUUUCGAUGUUAUCCGCAUAAGUUAGAGCCGAUAUUUUAGUAUUAUCCAUUUCUUAACAUUCUAAAACACUUUUGACUUAAAUUAAGUUCUGUAACUUAUGAUUGUAUGAUUGUCUCAAGUAUGAUUGAGAAGCUGUUUAUUCCCUUUUCUUGAGCAUAGCAAGAAUUGUGGUCUACCAGAAGCCGGAGAAGGUGUAGUCAUAGUCGGAGUUCUUCUCCUUCUCUAUAGGCGGGCAAAUGUGAGUAGAUGAUCUGUGGAUAUAGGAAACUGAAGCAAAAACGGAAUUCAUAAUAAAAUUAAAUAUGAAACAAUA
rnacentral:sRNA from 1 species